GACGAACGCUGGCGGCGUGCUUAACACAUGCAAGUCGAACGGAAAGGCCCUGCUUUUGUGGGGUGCUCGAGUGGCGAACGGGUGAGUAACACGUGAGUAACCUGCCCUUGACUUUGGGAUAACUUCAGGAAACUGGGGCUAAUACCGGAUAGGAGCUCCUGCUGCAUGGUGGGGGUUGGAAAGUUUCGGCGGUUGGGGAUGGACUCGCGGCUUAUCAGCUUGUUGGUGGGGUAGUGGCUUACCAAGGCUUUGACGGGUAGCCGGCCUGAGAGGGUGACCGGCCACAUUGGGACUGAGAUACGGCCCAGACUCCUACGGGAGGCAGCAGUGGGGAAUAUUGCACAAUGGGCGGAAGCCUGAUGCAGCAACGCCGCGUGCGGGAUGACGGCCUUCGGGUUGUAAACCGCUUUCGCCUGUGACGAAGCGUGAGUGACGGUAAUGGGUAAAGAAGCACCGGCUAACUACGUGCCAGCAGCCGCGGUGAUACGUAGGGUGCGAGCGUUGUCCGGAUUUAUUGGGCGUAAAGGGCUCGUAGGUGGUUGAUCGCGUCGGAAGUGUAAUCUUGGGGCUUAACCCUGAGCGUGCUUUCGAUACGGGUUGACUUGAGGAAGGUAGGGGAGAAUGGAAUUCCUGGUGGAGCGGUGGAAUGCGCAGAUAUCAGGAGGAACACCAGUGGCGAAGGCGGUUCUCUGGGCCUUUCCUGACGCUGAGGAGCGAAAGCGUGGGGAGCGAACAGGCUUAGAUACCCUGGUAGUCCACGCUGUAAACGGUGGGUACUAGGUGUGGGGUCCAUUCCACGGGUUCCGUGCCGUAGCUAACGCUUUAAGUACCCCGCCUGGGGAGUACGGCCGCAAGGCUAAAACUCAAAGGAAUUGACGGGGCCCCGCACAAGCGGCGGAGCAUGCGGAUUAAUUCGAUGCAACGCGUAGAACCUUACCUGGGUUUGACAUGGAUCGGGAGUGCUCAGAGAUGGGUGUGCCUCUUUUGGGGUCGGUUCACAGGUGGUGCAUGGCUGUCGUCAGCUCGUGUCGUGAGAUGUUGGGUUAAGUCCCGCAACGAGCGCAACCCUUGUUCACUGUUGCCAGCACGUUAUGGUGGGGACUCAGUGGAGACCGCCGGGGUCAACUCGGAGGAAGGUGGGGAUGACGUCAAGUCAUCAUGCCCCUUAUGUCCAGGGCUUCACGCAUGCUACAAUGGCUGGUACAGAGAGUGGCGAGCCUGUGAGGGUGAGCGAAUCUCGGAAAGCCGGUCUCAGUUCGGAUUGGGGUUCUGCAACUCGACCUCAUGAAGUCGGAGUCGCUAGUAAUCGCAGAUCAGCAACGCUGCGGUGAAUACGUUCCCGGG
rnacentral:rRNA from 1 species